UUUUGGUCCUAGAGUUCAUCCUAUUAGCUUUUUCCACCGUGCAGGAGAUACGUGCGUGGUCCCCUGCGGACUGCACGCCACGAGCAACUCUUCUUGUUUCUGUCUCUCCCUCUUAGCUUCUUAAUAAUUGCUGCGUGUAUUGUGAACACGCUCAAAAUUAUUCAAGGAUCCUAAGGGAGCUUACUCUCAACUUAUACGCCAACAAGAAGUAAACAAGGAGACACAAGAAAAUGCUGAUCAUCACAACAAGAGUGAAAUUUUUGUCGAAUUCUUCAGGCAAUCUACUCAAAGGAGAUCACUUCAAAGAUCUAUCAGUAGGGGGUCAUCUACAGGGAAUGAUUUACCCACAGGAGUUAACGUUGCUGAUCCUGAACAUGAAAAUUCAUAACCAAAAGAGCAAGCACCGGAGGUUCCACUCAGCCGUCUUGCUUCCCUCAACAAGCCAUAGAUUCCGGUUCUUCUAAUUGGAUGGGUAGCUACCAUAGCAAAUGGUAUUAUGUCUCCAAUACUUGGUGUGUUGAUUUCCUAUGUCAUCAAGACUUUGUAUGAAACAUUUGAUGAGAUGAAAUAGGACUCCAAGUUUUGGGCAUAGAUGUUUAUGGUCCUUGUGUUGGAAUUUUUUUCCAAUAAUUAAUAUGGACUAAUGUUUUAAGAUAA